rnacentral:rRNA from 1 species
CCUACGGGUGGCAGCAGUGAGGAAUAUUGGUCAAUGGACGAGAGUCUGAACCAGCCAAGUAGCGUGAAGGAUGACUGCCCUAUGGGUUGUAAACUUCUUUUAUAAAGGAAUAAAACGAGGCACGUGUGCCUUUUUGCAUGUACUUUAUGAAUAAGGAUCGGCUAACUCCGUGCCAGCAGCCGCGGUAAUACGGAGGAUCCGAGCGUUAUCCGGAUUUAUUGGGUUUAAAGGGAGCGUAGAUGGGUUGUUAAGUCAGUUGUGAAAGUUUGCGGCUCAACCGUAAAAUUGCAAUUGAUACUGGCAGUCGUGAGUACAGUUGAGGUAGGCGGAAUUCGUGGUGUAGCGGUGAAAUGCUUAGAUAUCACGAAGAACCCCGAUUUCGAAGGCAGCUUACUAAACUGUGACUGACAUUGAUGCUCGAAAGUGUGGGUAUCAAACAGGAUUAGAUACCCGGGUAGUC